AGCCGAGCGGUAGAAGAUCUUCGGAUCUUUGAGAGCGGCGUACGGGUGCGGAACACGUGUGCAACCUGCCUUUAUCAGGGGGAUAGCCUUUCGAAAGGAAGAUUAAUACCCCAUAAUAUAAUGAGUGGCAUCACUUAUUAUUGAAAACUCCGGUGGAUAGAGAUGGGCACGCGCAAGAUUAGAUAGUUGGUAGGGUAACGGCCUACCAAGUCAGUGAUCUUUAGGGGGCCUGAGAGGGUGAUCCCCCACACUGGUACUGAGACACGGACCAGACUCCUACGGGAGGCAGCAGUGAGGAAUAUUGGACAAUGGGUGAGAGCCUGAUCCAGCCAUCCCGCGUGAAGGACGACGGCCCUAUGGGUUGUAAACUUCUUUUGUAUAGGGAUAAACCUUUCCACGUGUGGAAAGCUGAAGGUACUAUACGAAUAAGCACCGGCUAACUCCGUGCCAGCAGCCGCGGUAAUACGGAGGGUGCAAGCGUUAUCCGGAUUUAUUGGGUUUAAAGGGUCCGUAGGCGGAUCUGUAAGUCAGUGGUGAAAUCUCAUAGCUUAACUAUGAAACUGCCAUUGAUACUGCAGGUCUUGAGUAAAGUAGAAGUGGCUGGAAUAAGUAGUGUAGCGGUGAAAUGCAUAGAUAUUACUUAGAACACCAAUUGCGAAGGCAGGUCACUAUGUUUUAACUGACGCUGAUGGACGAAAGCGUGGGGAGCGAACAGGAUUAGAUACCCUGGUAGUCCACGCCGUAAACGAUGCUAACUCGUUUUUGGGUUUUCGGAUUCAGAGACUAAGCGAAAGUGAUAAGUUAGCCACCUGGGGAGUACGUUCGCAAGAAUGAAACUCAAAGGAAUUGACGGGGGCCCGCACAAGCGGUGGAUUAUGUGGUUUAAUUCGAUGAUACGCGAGGAACCUUACCAAGGCUUAAAUGGGAAUUGACAGGUUUAGAAAUAGACUUUUCUUCGGACAAUUUUCAAGGUGCUGCAUGGUUGUCGUCAGCUCGUGCCGUGAGGUGUUAGGUUAAGUCCUGCAACGAGCGCAACCCCUGUCACUAGUUGCCAUCAUUCAGUUGGGGACUCUAGUGAGACUGCCUACGCAAGUAGAGAGGAAGGUGGGGAUGACGUCAAAUCAUCACGGCCCUUACGCCUUGGGCCACACACGUAAUACAAUGGCCGGUACAGAGGGCAGCUACCUAGCGAUAGGAUGCGAAUCUCGAAAGCCGGUCUCAGUUCGGAUUGGAGUCUGCAACUCGACUCUAUGAAGCUGAAUC
rnacentral:rRNA from 1 species